UGGGGAAUAUUGCACAAUGGGCGAAAGCCUGAUGCAGCAACGCCGCGUGAGUGAUGAAGGUCUUCGGAUUGUAAAGCUCUGUCUUUUGGGACGAUAAUGACGGUACCAAAGGAGGAAGCCACGGCUAACUACGUGCCAGCAGCCGCGGUAAUACGUAGGUGGCGAGCGUUGUCCGGAUUUACUGGGCGUAAAGGGUGCGUAGGCGGAUGUUUAAGUGAGAUGUGAAAUACCCGGGCUUAACUUGGGUGCUGCAUUUCAAACUGGAUAUCUAGAGUGCAGGAGAGGAGAAUGGAAUUCCUAGUGUAGCGGUGAAAUGCGUAGAGAUUAGGAAGAACACCAGUGGCGAAGGCGAUUCUCUGGACUGUAACUGACGCUGAGGCACGAAAGCGCGGGUAGCAAACAGGAUUAGAUACCCUGGUAGUCCACGCCGUAAACGAUGAGUACUAGGUGUAGGAGGUAUCGACCCCUUCUGUGCCGCAGUAAACACAUUAAGUACUCCGCCUGGGAAGUACGAUCGCAAGAUUAAAACUCUAAAGUGAAUUGACGGGGUC
rnacentral:rRNA from 1 species